AGUCGAGCGAGCUUGCCUAGAUGAAUUUGGUGCUUGCACCAGAUGAAACUAGAUACAAGCGAGCGGCAGACGGGUGAGUAACACGUGGGUAACCUGCCCAAGAGACUGGGAUAACACCUGGAAACAGAUGCUAAUACCGGAUAACAACACUAGACGCAUGUCUAGAGUUUAAAAGAUGGUUCUGCUAUCACUCUUGGAUGGACCUGCGGUGCAUUAGCUAGUUGGUAAGGUAACGGCUUACCAAGGCAAUGAUGCAUAGCCGAGUUGAGAGACUGAUCGGCCACAUUGGGACUGAGACACGGCCCAAACUCCUACGGGAGGCAGCAGUAGGGAAUCUUCCACAAUGGACGCAAGUCUGAUGGAGCAACGCCGCGUGAGUGAAGAAGGGUUUCGGCUCGUAAAGCUCUGUUGGUAGUGAAGAAAGAUAGAGGUAGUAACUGGCCUUUAUUUGACGGUAAUUACUUAGAAAGUCACGGCUAACUACGUGCCAGCAGCCGCGGUAAUACGUAGGUGGCAAGCGUUGUCCGGAUUUAUUGGGCGUAAAGCGAGUGCAGGCGGUUCAAUAAGUCUGAUGUGAAAGCCUUCGGCUCAACCGGAGAAUUGCAUCAGAAACUGUUGAACUUGAGUGCAGAAGAGGAGAGUGGAACUCCAUGUGUAGCGGUGGAAUGCGUAGAUAUAUGGAAGAACACCAGUGGCGAAGGCGGCUCUCUGGUCUGCAACUGACGCUGAGGCUCGAAAGCAUGGGUAGCGAACAGGAUUAGAUACCCUGGUAGUCCAUGCCGUAAACGAUGAGUGCUAAGUGUUGGGAGGUUUCCGCCUCUCAGU
rnacentral:rRNA from 1 species